rnacentral:rRNA from 1 species
UACGUAGGCAGCAAGCGUUGUUCGGAGUUACUGGGCGUAAAGGGUGCGUAGGCGGCCCUGUAAGUAUGGUGUGAAAUCUCCCGGCUUAACUGGGAGGGUGCGCUAUAGACUGCGGGGCUCGAGUGUGGGAGAGGAAAGUGGAAUUCCUGGUGUAGCGGUGAAAUGCGUAGAUAUCAGGAGGAACACCGGUGGUGUAAAUGGCUUUCUGGACCAUAACUGACGCUGAGGCACGAAAGCGUGGGUAGCAAACAGG